AGUGGCGGACGGGUGAGUAACGCGUAAGAAUCUAACUUCAGGACGGGGACAACAGUGGGAAACGACUGCUAAUACCCGUUGUGCCGCGAGGUGAAACCUAAUUGGCCUGAAGAAGAGCUUGCGUCUGAUUAGCUAGUUGGUGGGGUAAGAGCCUACCAAGGCGACGAUCAGUAGCUGGUCUGAGAGGAUGAGCAGCCACACUGGGACUGAGACACGGCCCAGACUCCUACGGGAGGCAGCAGUGGGGAAUUUUCCGCAAUGGGCGAAAGCCUGACGGAGCAACGCCGCGUGAGGGAGGAAGGUCUUUGGAUUGUAAACCUCUUUUCUCAAGGAAGAAGUUCUGACGGUACUUGAGGAAUCAGCCUCGGCUAACUCCGUGCCAGCAGCCGCGGUAAUACGGGGGAGGCAAGCGUUAUCCGGAAUUAUUGGGCGUAAAGCGUCCGCAGGUGGUCAGCCAAGUCUGCCGUCAAAUCAGGUUGCUUAACGACCUAAAGGCGGUGGAAACUGGCAGACUAGAGAGCAGUAGGGGUAGCAGGAAUUCCCAGUGUAGCGGUGAAAUGCGUAGAGAUUGGGAAGAACAUCGGUGGCGAAAGCGUGCUACUGGGCUGUAUCUGACACUCAGGGACGAAAGCUAGGGGAGCGAAAGGGAUUAGAUACCCCUGUAGUCCUAGCCGUAAACGAUGGAUACUAGGCGUGGCUU
rnacentral:rRNA from 1 species